GAGCCUGAAAACUACUGUCAACAAAAUGACCUUCUGUCUUUAACUAUAUAAACACAAAGAAAGGCCUUCUUCUGGGAAAACUUAUCAUGUCUGAACUCCCUCAUCUUACUUUAGUCAGUGUGAUAGCAAACAAAGACAGACACGGAAUCACAGAUAAACAUUUUAUUGUGGUAAAAAAUAUACAGCCGAUCAGCUCCUUCACCAUUGUACCUGGAAAAAACAAACAGCACAUUACUUUAAAAACUGUAGUAAAGAAACUGGAAAAAUGAUGAAAAUCAAACACCCAACCUGUUAAUGUAGUUGUUCCCACUUUUGUUGGCCCUGGGGGGGCUGUUGUGGUGGUUCUAACCGAUCUCCCAUGUUGCAAAACCACAUAUAAAAGUCAAAAACAGGAUCUGCGUAAAACGUCCCAUCAAAACUUGAUGAUUGGGAUGCCUGAGGCAUCUGGAAGGGGCCCAUGAAGUCCAAGUCUUUGUACGGUGGUCCUGCUGAAUUGUCGCGAGGCUGCAUGGGCAAAUGCAUUGGUUUCAUGGGACCCACAGGGCCCCCAAUUGGAUACUUUGGCUCCACAGGCAUAGGUUUCAUAGGACCUACAGGGCCCCAAAAUGGGUAUUUUGGCUCCACUGGCAUUGGCACUGGUUUCAUAGGACCUACUGGGCCCCCAAUUGGGUAUUUUGGUUCCACUGGCAUAGGCACUGGUUUCAUAGGACCUACUGGGCCCCCAAUUGGGUAUUUUGGUUCCACUGGCAUNNNNNNNNNNUGGCACUGGUUUCAUAGGACCUACUGGGCCCCCGAUUGGGUAAUUUGGCUCCACUGGCAUAGGCAUUGGUUUCCUGGGACCCAGUGGAUCUCCAAAAACAGAUGUGGGGUUCAUGGCCAAAAUGAAAGGUUUCAUGCGACCUACUUGGUCCUGGAAGAAGAGUUGCGGUUUAGUGUGCAUAAGGAGCUGUUUCAUGGAACUGACUGGGAUCUUAAUUUGGAAGUUAGACUCAACAGUUGGCUCCAUGGGGCCUGCAGACUUCCCAUUUGGAUCUCCAGUUUGUUUAGUUGGAUCUAACGAGCCUCCAGUCAGGAAUUUAUGCUUCACAGGCAAUUGUUUUAGGUGAUCAAAUAAAUACUCAGUGAGGUGGUCUAGUUGAAUGGGAAGCUUUUCAGCGUCAUCCACUUCUUCUUCUUCAUAAGUUUCAGUUUCAGUGUCCGUAGCUGUAUGUUUGGGAAAUAGAGGUGGGUAGACUACUUUAGUAAAUGUACACAAAACAAUUCUUUUAUGAUUUAAUCUGAAUAAACUUACCAAUUACUCUGUUUCUCCCGACGGCCACCAAGGACAACAGCAACAAUCUAGAAAAAGACCACAGUUAUUGUCUAAAAAGAGGAAAAUCUGUGUGUAGACGGGCUUGUAAACACGUAAAGAGACCUAACCUAAAUAUUUUUAACAAACUCAAAUAAACUGGCACACAUUUGAAAAGCUUACCCAAAGAUCAUCUCCAUAACCCCAACGUGAGCAGCCAUCAGUGACGAUUACAAUUGCAAACAACUGGAAAAACUAGGACACCCGGAAACUUUUUAUACUUUCCUCCUAUCUCAAACAGGAUGCCGUCCACUGUUAGCAGGUGGAGCUAUCUGCUCCAUGAAUAAACAUGACAAUCAAAAGUGAGUCCAAACCAAACAUAAGUACUGGUCUUAUUUAAUGUGUUAAUGUUAAAACACUUGAUAAAUUUAGCUUAAUAUCCCUUUUUAAACUUAUUUGACAGUUUCG
ensembl:lncRNA